CCUACGGGAGGCAGCAGUGGGGAAUAUUGGACAAUGGGGGGAACCCUGAUCCAGCCAUGCCGCGUGUGUGAAGAAGGCCCUCGGGUUGUAAAGCACUUUCAGUGAGGAAGAACGCCUGGUGGUUAAUACCCAUCAGGAAAGACAUCACUCACAGAAGAAGCACCGGCUAACUCCGUGCCAGCAGCCGCGGUAAUACGGAGGGUGCGAGCGUUAAUCGGAAUUACUGGGCGUAAAGCGCGCGUAGGUGGCUUGAUAAGCCGGUUGUGAAAGCCCCGGGCUCAACCUGGGAACGGCAUCCGGAACUGUCAAGCUAGAGUGCAGGAGAGGAAGGUAGAAUUCCCGGUGUAGCGGUGAAAUGCGUAGAGAUCGGGAGGAAUACCAGUGGCGAAGGCGGCCUUCUGGACUGACACUGACACUGAGGUGCGAAAGCGUGGGUAGCAAACAGGAUUAGAUACCCGGGUAGUC
rnacentral:rRNA from 1 species